rnacentral:rRNA from 1 species
CCUACGGGUGGCAGCAGUGGGGAAUAUUGGACAAUGGGCGAAAGCCUGAUCCAGCCAUGCCGCGUGUGUGAAGAAGGCCUUCGGGUUGUAAAGCACUUUCAGUGGGGAAGAAAGCCUUGGGGCUAAUACCCUCGAGGAAGGACAUCACCCACAGAAGAAGCACCGGCUAACUCCGUGCCAGCAGCCGCGGUAAUACGGAGGGUGCGAGCGUUAACCGGAAUUACUGGGCGUAAAGCGCGCGUAGGCGGUCUGAUAAGCCGGUUGUGAAAGCCCCGGGUUCAACCUGGGAACGGCAUCCGGAACUGUCAGGCUAGAGUGCAGGAGAGGAAGGUAGAAUUCCCGGUGUAGCGGUGAAAUGCGUAGAGAUCGGGAGGAAUACCAGUGGCGAAGGCGGCCUUCUGGACUGACACUGACGCUGAGGUGCGAAAGCGUGGGUAGCAAACAGGAUUAGAUACCCUAGUAGUC